UACGAAGGGGGCUAGCGUUGCUCGGAAUCACUGGGCGUAAAGCGCACGUAGGCGGAUUGUUAAGUCAGGGUGAAAUCCUGGAGCUCAACUCCAGAACUGCCUUGAUACUGGCGAUCUUGAGUCCGGGAGAGGUGAGUGGAACUCCGAGUGUAGAGGUGAAAUUCGUAGAUAUUCGGAAGAACACCAGUGGCGAAGGCGGCUCACUGGCCCGGUACUGACGCUGAGGUGCGAAAGCGUGGGAGCGAACGAGG
rnacentral:rRNA from 1 species